GUCCUUGCUUCAGCAGUACAUAUGUUAAGACUGAAACAAUACAGAGAAGAUUAGCAUGGGCUGUAAGCAAGGAUGACAUGCAAAUUCUUGAAGCAUUUCAUUUUUUG
ensembl:snRNA U6 U6 spliceosomal RNA